UACGGAGGAUGCAAGCGUUAUCCGGAAUCAUUGGGCGUAAAGCGUCCGCAGGUGGCAGUUCAAGUCUGCUGUCAAAGACUGGGGCUUAACCCUAGAAAGGCAGUGGAAACUGAACAGCUAGAGUGCGGUAGGGGUAGAGGGAAUUCCCGGUGUAGCGGUGAAAUGCGUAGAGAUCGGGAAGAACACCAGUGGCGAAAGCGCUCUGCUGGGCCUGCACUGACACUGAGGGACGAAAGCUAGGGGAGCGAAUGGG
rnacentral:rRNA from 1 species